rnacentral:rRNA from 1 species
UAUGUGAUCGUCUCUCGCAUAUCAAUAAGCGGAGGAAAAGAAACUAACAAGGAUUCCCCUAGUAACGGCGAGUGAAGCGGGGAGAGCUCAAAUUUGAAAUCUUAAAGGGUUUCCCUUUACGAAUUGUAGUUUAAAGAAGUGUUUUCUGUUGAGGUUUUGGUAAAAGUUCUUUGGAAUAGGACAUCAUAGAGGGUGAGAAUCCCGUAUUUGACCUUUACUUUCAACUUUGUGAUACACUUUCAAAGAGUCGGAUUGUUUGGGAAUGCAGUCCAAAAUGGGUGGUAAAUUUCAUCUAAAGCUAAAUAUUGGCGAGAGACCGAUAGCGAACAAGUACCGUGAGGGAAAGAUGAAAAGAACUUUGAAAAGAGAGUUAAACAGUACGUGAAAUUGUCAAAAGGGAAGCGUUUGACACCAGUGUUGUUUUUCUGAAAAUCAAUUAAAGAACUGCUUAUGCUAAGUUGUUUAGACUUUAUCAGCUAACUGUUUAGUUUUGAGCUUUUCUUUAAUGCACUUUUCAGUUAACAAGUCAACAUCAAUUUCUUUUGCUGUAAAAAAGCUUGAGGAAGGUGGCUUGAGAUUCGUCUUAAGUGUUUAUAGCCUCUUGCCUAUGCAGUCGGAGAGAUUGAGGUCUGCAGCGUAGAUCCUUCGGGGCUAAAUGCAUUUGUGCUAAGUUAUAGCAUUUUAUAGACAACUUGUUGACUAUGAUUUGUCUUGUAGCUUACUCGCUUAUGUUAUUUUACCUACGCUUAGGAUGUUGAAGAUAUGCGCGACACG